UACGGAAGGCAGCAGUAGGGAAUAUUGGGCAAUGGGCGAGAGCCUGACCCAGCCAUGCCGCGUGCAGGAAGAAGGCUUUCUGAGUCGUAAACUGCUUUUGACAGGGAAGAAUAAGGCUUACGUGUAAGCUGAUGACGGUACCUGCAGAAUAAGCACCGGCUAACUCCGUGCCAGCAGCCGCGGUAAUACGGAGGGUGCGAGCGUUAAUCGGAAUUACUGGGCGUAAAGGGCACGCAGGCGGUUAAUUAAGUUGGAUGUGAAAUCCCCGGGCUUAACCUGGGAAUGGCAUUCAAGACUGGUUAGCUAGAGUCUUGUAGAGGGGGUAGAAUUCCAUGUGUAGCGGUGAAAUGCGUAGAGAUGUGGAGGAAUACCGGUGGCGAAGGCGGCCCCUGGGACAAAGGACUGACGCUCAUGUGCGAAAGCGUGGGGAGCAAACAGGAUUAGAUACC
rnacentral:rRNA from 1 species